AGCUAUUACCACAUGUAAAAGCCACUCAGCUCUUGAAUCCUUCCUGAAGGACAACACAGUAACAAAAGUACAAGUGCUCAAGGUCUCAUUGUACCUUAUAAUUUAAACACAAGAACACUUUGAAGUAGCAGAUGAAACUAGUGGUUCAAUGAAAGCAUGAAAUGCUUUGAAAGUACUCCGUUUGUUAGAUGGAGUACAUGUUUACAGUGGAAAUCUUCAACAGGUUCUCACAGCGUAUUGGCGAUGGAGGAGGAGAGAAAGCCCAAGUAAUAAACGCCCCUUUCAAAGAACCGACCUGUUUCUGUGUAGUCGUGAAGAGAGCUACAAGACAUUUGAAAGUUAACUGUGAGUUUUUAAACACUUUUACUCUUGAAAAUGAAAACACAAAUCAUUAUUCAAAGAAGAUGGCUGGAACAUGACCGCAGGAAAGCAUAAGAAAACCGCCUGAAGAAAGAUAAGCUGGCUUUCUUUCACACUUAUGCAAGGGAGGGCGGCGAAUCCCUUCAACAACACAGUAGACAAACUGUGUCAUAGGCGGAAAGGAGCCGUGAAUAUGCUGCCGGCGCUGUAUGAUGGAACCUUUGGAUUGAUAAAAGCCUAUUCAACACUACGCUUGAUACUAUGUUUGAAUGUGAAAAGCACAGCAUGAGUUAUUAAAGCAUAUCAAUAUGGUACUGGAAAAGCACUUAUCUGAACUGUUUGGGAUAUUGAUUUUUAAGAAAGUAGACUGAAAUAAACCUGUUGCCAUGGAUGCAGGUGACAUUUCUGUUUGUCUUUCUGUGAUUAAUGUGUGAAAUAAAAGAUGUAAUUUUGCAUUUUUCAGCGGUCCCUGCACUCCCAUGCUAAUAAAUGAUUUAAUCUGUGUAAUUUUGGCAAUAUCACCAUGUAAUUUCACUUAAAUUGAAUUGUACUGUACAGGGAAAACAAAACAAAAGCUACAUAUUAAUAUUUUCCUUCUUUCGGCUGGUCCUUUAGGGGUCAUCUGC